rnacentral:piRNA from 1 species
UGGUGGAAGAAUCCCUAGCUACAUGGUACA